GUACAUCAACCACCUGGAAGGCACAAAAUUUAAAAUUCUAGUGAACAUGGCAUGGGACUUUUGGCAAUUCUGCCUGGCUCAAGGCAUCUGAGUUACGGCUAACUGGUAUUCCAGACACUUUAUAUAUUAGAACGAUUGGGAGUUGGAUUCCAGGGUCUUCCAAGACAUCCAGUUCCUAAGGGGCCCAUCAUUAUUUUACCUCGCAUCUGAAUACGCAAGUACCCUGCUUCUUCAGUUGGAGACCAGAUCCGACAGCACUAGCUUCAAAUGCUUUCAAACAAGAUUGG